GACGAACGCUGGCGGUGUGCUUAACACAUGCAAGUCGAACGGUAAGGCCCUUUCGGGGGUAGAUGAUUGGCGAACGGGUGGGUAACACGUGCGUAACUUGCCCGCAUUUCUGGGAUAACUGUCGGAAACGGUUGCUAAUUCUUGAUAUGAGCUUGCAAGGCAUCUUGUGGGUUGGAAAGAUUUUUUUGGGGGGGGGUGGACUCCCGGCCUAUCAGCUGGUUGGUGAGGUAGUGGCUCACCAAGGCUUCGAUGGGUGGCCGGCCUGAGAGGGGGGCAGGCCACACUGUGGCUGUGAGACGGCCCAAACUCCCACGGGAGGCAGCAGUGGGGAAUAUUGUACAAUGGACGGAAGUGUGAGGCAGCACAGCCGCGUGCGCGAUGACGGCCUUCUGGGUGUAAACCGCGCUCAAUUGUGACGAAGCGUGUGUGUGACGGUAGCAGUAGAAGAAGCACCGGCUAACUACGUG
rnacentral:rRNA from 1 species